rnacentral:rRNA from 1 species
GAUGAACGCUGGCGGCGUGCCUAAUACAUGCGAGUCGAGCGAACAGACGAGGAGCUUGCUCCUCUGACGUUAGCGGCGGACGGGUGAGUAACACGUGGAUAACCUACCUAUAAGACUGGGAUAACUUCGGGAAACCGGAGCUAAUACCGGAUAAUAUAUUGAACCGCAUGGUUCAAUAGUGAAAGACGGUUUUGCUGUCACUUAUAGAUGGAUCCGCGCCGCAUUAGCUAGUUGGUAAGGUAACGGCUUACCAAGGCGACGAUGCGUAGCCGACCUGAGAGGGUGAUCGGCCACACUGGAACUGAGACACGGUCCAGACUCCUACGGGAGGCAGCAGUAGGGAAUCUUCCGCAAAGGGCGAAAGCCUGACGGAGCAACGCCGCGUGAGUGAUGAAGGUCUUCGGAUCGUAAAACUCUGUUAUUAGGGAAGAACAAAUGUGUAAGUAACUAUGCACGUCUUGACGGUACCUAAUCAGAAAGCCACGGCUAACUACGUG